GGUCGAUGAUGAGCUUCUGUAAAAGGUCUGACCCCGUCCUCUAGCCCCCCUCUGCUCCCAGCAGCCUCUGUUCUACCCAGCAUGCUCUAGUCGUGCACUGUUGGUUUCUGGAGCUGCUGACACACAGGAUGUGACAUCACAAUCUGAGUCAGUCAGAGAUCCCAUUGGCUCAGUGUGAUGAUUGACAUCCCACAGAACCAAUCCGCAUGGAGCAAGGGGGCGGGGCAGAGGUUGGGGAGAUGAUCACACUUUUGAGCUGAGACC